UACGGGGGGGGGCAAGCGUUGUUCGGAAUUACUGGGCGUAAAGGGCGCGUAGGCGGCUCGCUAAGUCGGAUGUGAAAACUCUGGGCUCAACCCAGAGCCUGCAUUCGAAACUGACGAGCUCGAGUACUGGAGGGGAAAGCGGAAUUCCUGGUGUAGCGGUGAAAUGCGUAGAGAUCGGGAGGAAUACCUGUGGCGAAGGCGGCCUACUGGGCCGGACCUGACGCUGAGACGCGAAGGCGUGGGGAGCGAACGGG
rnacentral:rRNA from 1 species